CUGCGUCUGGGGCGCCGCGCGGCGCGCGCCUGGCGUGGCACGGCGCGACGGCUGAGCCCGUCUCGCUAGCGCCGCCUGCCGGCCACGGCCCGCCCUCACCUCCGCACCCCGCCGCCGCCCCGGCCGCUCCCUCGCUUGGCGCGGAGACGGAUCUGCACCCUACAACCGCGACACCGUCACCGCCGCGCGCUGAAAGCUCACCGGCCCCUGUCCCCUUCCCACCCGGCGCACCUCCGCCUUGCUUCUGACCGCGGAAGCCUCAGAGCGCUGGACCGGACCUGCCCUGCGUUUCGCAUGAAGUCGUUGGUCUUGCCGGGUCGCACCCCGCGUCGGGGUCACCAUGUCCCUUGCCCGGCUCAGGUGAACUAGGAACAGGGUCACAAAAAACUCCUGCUGCUCCAAGCCCAGGAAGCCAACAGCCCACCCGUCUCAGAAGCCCUUCCAAGUGUCCCUGGGUCUUCAGAAUCAAGAGCCAAGAUCAGAAAAGACCAGCCCCAUUGCUAGGCUUGAGCAUGGGAAAGACGACAGUCAUGUGAGUCUUCUAUCGUGCCUGUCAUCUAGAGACCUAUGUCUGACCCCUGGCUCUGCUAAGGGAUGCCAACCACGUCUCACCAGGCUGUUGGAUAUCCCCAUGCUGUGGGGCUGAGGCCCACCUGGGAUCAGAGGAUGUGAGUGUGCAGCAAGCAUGCAGAGCUGAUGAUGGCCCUGGUGGAAGAGGUUACAGAAGAGCUCGUACCAGAAGAACAUGAAGCCAGUGGAGAGCGAAGCCUUGAUCAGGCUGGGGGUCAGGCCCUUGAAGAAGCCCCGGGUGCCUUCCUCCUCGAACACCUUCCGCAUGAGGUCCAGGAGGCCCCUGUAGCUCCGCACCUGGGAAGGAAGGUGGAGGCUGAGGAGGAAGCAGUGUCUAAAACCAGGACUGCCCAGC